UAAUUCAAAUUCACGCGUCGCAUAAAAGCGGCCCAAUCACAGCUGUGUAUGUAAACCAAAUGAUGAUCCGUAGCAGGAUUGUGUAACAGUAAAAAAAAAAAAACGUAGCUACAUGCCAUGAAAAAAAGGUUGUCUAAUCAACUUGAAAAACAAAUUGAGCAGGUUCAGGAGACAAUACAGACACAUACAGAGACAGUGGUCGGGUCUUCUGAAGACCACGAGGAAGGAAAUCCCUGACCGCUUCUCAAAAAACACAAGCAGAGAAGAGCAGACAGUGUAACUAUGGAAUGUAAACUCUGCUUACCAAAGAUGGUGGAGGUGGCUGCCUACAUUUACUCUGCUUCAAACUUGAGGAAACAUGUAAGUUAAUGAGGAAACAUCCAUUAAAGAUGACAAACUACAAUAUGUUCACCUCUGCAACCACAUACAAACGAACCAAGGAACUAUCAAACACCUCUUCAACUUACAAGCAAGCAAUGAUGUCUGAUGAUGGCAGUGGGAGGAGCCAGGUGCAUCUCACAGGCAACCGUUGACAAGCUUGUCAUUCAUUUGAUCUGUGAGGAGAGUUGGUAACCACCCUGCAUCCUCAAUGCAAAGUAAUCUCCAGUCCUACUGUUCGUUCAAGAAUACAUGAAGCUGCCAAUCACAUGAAGAAGACGGUUAUGGCACACCGUGGCAAGGUAAAUUAUGUUGCCACCACCACUGAUUGUUGGACAGCUCAUCAAAGGAGUUACAUCGUGGUCACAUGUCACUGGAUAGAUGAAGAAACUCUGGUGAGACAUUCUGCUGCACUCGCUUGCAGGAGAUUGAGAGGUUCCCAUACAUAUGAUGUGCUUGUAGGUGCCCUCGAUGACAUCCAUUAUGCAUACAGGAUCAGGGCGAAAGUGGUAAGAACCACAACAGACAUUGGAUCAAACUUCAUCAAAGCAUUCAAUGUUUUUGGUGAGCAGAGCCAGGCAGUCGAGUCAGCAGACCCGAGACUCGGAUGCUGAAGAGCCAGCAGAGCAGGUUGAAUACCAAGACACCUAUUCCAUCCUGGAAAAUGACAGUGGCCUAGAAUAUCAACUCCCUCAGCAUCAACGGUGUGCCUGUCACCUGCUGAACCUGAUUGCAACAACAGAUUCUGCUUUGGCAGAAACAAAUAGUGAUGGCUACAAAAGUUUGUCCAGGUUGUCUUUUGCCAAAUGCCAUGUGGAAUAAAACGGGGCGGUCAACCUUUAGCUGCUGAAGUUGUAGAGACUGAGUACAAACUGCAGUAGAUCCAUCCAAAUCAAACACGCUGGAACUCAACUUACCUGGCUGUGGAGAGGAUCACCGGUAUCAUACAAGAGAAGUGGGAGGAUGCCAUAAGAAAUGUGUGUGAAGAAUUAAAAGUGAAAAUGCUGAGCCCGGCAGAAAUGUCCUUCUUGAAUGUGUACUGCAAAGUUUGGUCUCAGCUCUAAACAUUCUACAGUCUGAGACCAACACGGAGUGUGGUGUCAGGAAAAUAACCUCACACUCAACGUCAACAAAACAAAGGAGAUGAUCGUGGACUUCAGGAAACAGCAGAGGGAGCACCCCUCUAUCCACAUCGACGGGAC